rnacentral:sRNA from 1 species
UGAACCUAAUAGCUGGCCUGGAUUCUCUCUGGGUUUAGUUGGGCCCCAGAGGAAUUGUUCAGAGUUUUAACCGUUUGAGUGAUGAUAAAAUCUGUGUGGUGUACAGAUGGUUCCCGGCUGAAUCCGACAGACUAACCCAAGGCAAAAAUGCAGCAAAUGCACAAGCAAUUCAAAAGGGAAAAGGGCAAACCUGGCAGAGCGAGCCAGGCAUUUUCUCCCAGGCUUUGCUGUGAUCUGAUGCCUCUGGGCGACAUAGCAACCAAAAGUAAACACAGAGCAUCCAGAAGGAUCUGCAGGAUCACGAGUGGGGUGCAGGGGGAGGCCUGUGAUAGCAGUGGCUGAGGUCACAGGCACACGUCACCAUCCCCUCCAUUUCUAUUAUCCCUUUCGUCCUCGGCUGAUGAUGAAAGAGAUCCAUCAAGUGAGGGGCAGAAGAGUAGGGUAGGAGAGGGGGGGCACCUCCCUUCUGUAUGCACAGGGAGCUCACUGUGUCCCUUCAUCUUCCACAGCAGCAUGGAUAGUAGGGGGUAUCUGGAAAGCCGAAGCUCACAGACAAAAGGCCUGCACCAUCUCUGUCAUGGACAGCCUGGGCAUCUUGGGCUAAUUGGUCCUCCCACCCAACCCCCCAUCCAGAUAAACCCCCUUCCUGUCUCCAGUUAGGAAAAUAAAAAUAGGCAUUUAAGGUAUAAUAACAAUUAGCAAAAUAAAAUAUAAUAAGAUAAAACAAAAAUGAUCCCGUCAGACUUGGAUAGAAGAGCCUUUCAAUCUUAAGGUCCGCAGAGGAUUGUAUGGCACCCAUUAUUUGGCAUCGUCAGCAUCUGGUGCAGGAGCCAGCACAUCACAGCUGCGUAGUGACUACACAGUCACCGAAUCCUUCCUGGGGCUCAGGGGGCCUUUGAUAAACUGGAGACCCUGAGAACUGCACGGAUGAACUUGGCAGCUUAUGCAGGAAAGUAGUGCCUGCCGUGGAGGUCCCAGGACAAGUGGCAGCAGAAAUGGAAUCCUUCCGCUGUGCAGUAGAAGGGUCUGGGACCAACAGAUUUUCUUCCUAAGAGCAACGUGCUCCUGAAUGUUCAGCAGAGGCUGCUCUGGCAUGGUGCCAGUCUGAUGACUCAUGGACUCAUAACUCAAGGAUCUCGGCUGGCCCGAGCACAAAGCUGCAGGGGCACUGGCCAGCCCCACCUGCAUGACAUACUCAUAGACAGAAGGGGCACUGGUAACUUGCCAGGGUGGCGUGAGUCCCGGUAGAGAUGUUGACCACCCGUAAGAAAUCCAGACAUAUACACUACAAAGAAUUGUCUGUUAAUCUCCUGUGAGCAGGGUGCAAAUGUACUAGGCUCCGAAUAUAAGGGUUUCAUCUGUAAACUAAGAACGCAAGUUUCUGUCUCUUUGCAGCCCAGGCAAAUCCUCAGACUCAACCAUAAAGAGUGGAAAGGAAGAAGGGAGGUUGGCUUGGUCAUUUGACGGCCAGACUGUGAGUGUCAGAGCCCAGAGUCUGCUGGGGAGUUCACUAACUCCAAGGCAACUGAGCUCGCUAAUCCUUUUAAGUCAGGACAGACUUGUUUGUCUAGCAGGGAGGGAGGAGUGAAGCUUCAUUAGACUGCAGAAGUGGACAGGCUGAAGAAAAUCCCCUUAGACAGGUUGGUUGGCUUCACGGCCCUUGUUUUAACUUUCUUGUCAAGGCAUAUUGAAAAAAAAUUUAUAUCACCAGGGCAAAGCACCAGCUGGAAUUUCUUGCUCAAAGCAAAUCUCUCCAUGCCCACCUUGGCCACAACUUCAACCUUUUCAGAAAACUGCCCUUGAACUUUGACCUUUUGGUAAUGCUUGACCUCGAUGAGAUCUGGACUGUGUUUUGGCAAGGGUAGUCACUAGCGAGCGGGGUACUUGACUGUUCCUGGUUCACAUUAAAGGGUUUUGGGGUUUGGUUUGG